rnacentral:rRNA from 1 species
UACGUAGGGUGCAAGCGUUGUCCGGAAUUAUUGGGCGUAAAGAGCUCGUAGGCGGUUUGUCGCGUCUGCUGUGAAAACUCGGGGCUUAACUCCGGGCCUGCAGUGGGUACGGGCAGACUAGAGUGCGGUAGGGGAGACUGGAAUUCCUGGUGUAGCGGUGAAAUGCGUAGAUAUCGGGAGGAACACCUGAGGCGAAGGCGGGCUACUGGGCCGAUACUGACGCUGAUGCGCGAAAGCCAGGGGAGCGAACGGG